AUCUGUUUAUUUGGGGCAUUCAGCUGAAGUUUGACAUUCUUUGGCCACUGAGGUAUUGAUGGGGGGGGACCUGGAGGACUGGCCAAGCAACCCCCAAAGGGCACUGGUUGUGACCCGCAGUCAGAGCUGGCGAGGGGCACUGCGCCCUGGCCUUGGGGGGGGGGGUGCCUUGCCUGAGGCGCAGGACCCUAACCUGGUGGGGAGGGAACGCCCAGGGACACGGCUCAGGGAGGCUGCAGCUUCAGACCCAGCAGGCGAGAAAGAGCAGGUGGCCAUCCCUGUCCCAGCUGCCGAGUUCCAGGCCGAGUUGCAGAGAGAUCCCUCCUUGCGGAAGAUAAGGGACCUGGCCGACCUCAAUGCGGUACAGACCAUGGGACGAGGUGGACGGAAAAGGUUCCUGUGGGAGAAGGGGUUCCUGUACCAAGAAUGGGCUCCCCCAGGGAAAAUGGAGUCAGGGGGGAUCAGGAGGCAGCUGGUGGUACCCCAGAAGUAUCGCUGCCAGCUGCUGGGCCGGGCCCAUGACACUCCUCUCUCAGGGCACCAGGGAACCUGGCGUACCCAGCAGAGGCUGCUACGGAGCUUUUACUGGCCUGGGGUCUUUGCUACUGUCCGACAGUACUGCGGAUCCUGUGACCCCUGUCAGAGGGGGAGGAAGGCCUGGGACAAGGGGAAAACAGCUUUAGGACCCUUGCCCAGCAUAAAGGAUCCUCUCCGGAGGGUGGCCAAGGUUAAAAGGGCGGCUCUAAACCAAGAGAGCCCAAAGCACAGACCCCCAGACUGGAGCGCUGGGAGAAGACCACAGCCCAGUUGGAACCCCAGAGGUAUGUGGGUGGGAAAAGGGCACAGGCCGCAUAAACCUUCCCACAUGCGAACUGCGAGUGCCAUCAAGCACCCCCGACCUAAGGGGGGGGCGUGAAACUGGAGGGGCCUGGUGUAAUUCUCACCAAGGAAUGGAAGGGAUGCGGGGGCAUCCAUGGGAACGGGGGUAGAUUCGAACUUCCACGGGUCACUGGCUAAAGUGACCCUGCUCAGUUCGGUCUCGAAGGGGGGAGAGAUGUG
rnacentral:lncRNA from 1 species